GUCAGCGGUCAUGCCACCCUGAACGUGCCCAAUCUUGUCUGAUCUCGGAAGCUAAGCAGGGUCAGGCCUGGUUAGUACUUGGAUGGGAGACCACCUAGGAAGACCAGGUGCUGUAGGCG
rnacentral:rRNA from 1 species